GGCAACGAGCCCUACUCAGCGCACUGCGUCUGCGCCGGGGCUCACUCCACGGCCGCGCGCGCCCACAGAGCAUGGCUGCCAGUGAACCUCCUCCGCCUGAGUCGUCCCCGAACGUGGAGAACGAGGCUGCCCAGCAGCACAGGCCCUCGGUCUCCUGGAAAUUAACCUCGCCCGCCGACGCGGCCGCCAGGAAGACCAGUGGCAUUUACCCGGCCUCAGCCGCGUUCCAGCGCCACCGGCUCAUCAGCCGCCCCGAAAUCAACUUAGGGACCCAGCCGCAGAUCUGUUUCCUGCAGCCGCGGACCUCGCAGCCGCUAGUGCUCUUCAGCUUAAUGAAUUCCAGCGAAGCGGCCGUGACAAAAUUUUUACCCAAGAGCCACUUAUCUCGGGUGAUUAUUCGUGACAACCUCAGUGCGCAACGAAUCUAUGAGUUGGAGAUGAAAACGGUAGAAAAGACCAAGAAAAAGAUGAGCCACUUGCAUGACCACCUGAAAAAAAAGUUCUUGAUGGACCAGUUGAGAAAGCUGGGGCGCUGGAGACGGGAGUUCCUCAGUGUCCGGCAGUACCUGGACAGCAUCCGUGCGCGCAGGGUUGACUCCAGCCUAAAAGAAAAACCCAGCCGCCUUAAUCAAGGUAGAAGCUCCACCCCAGAGCCAUGACAACGCUAGACUGACAGGGGGAGAAGACGUAGAAGCCAGCCACAGGAGAAGGAGAUGUAGAAGCCAGCCAGCACCAUCGUAGAACAAUAAACUGAGACCAACGGACAGUGGAGUACAGAAACCCUAGCAAUUCUAAUAUCCUUGCCCUGCCUCGUUCCCUCUGUUCUGGUGAAGGAGAUCCUGAUCGUCCCCUAGCUGCCUGAGUGGAGGAGGCUUAACCAAGCCAGCAUCAUGGUUAAGGCCAAGGUCGACCUUCUGUGCCCAUGUGUCUGAGGUGGAAUGCCAGGCCAAGGGCACUGGGCAGUGGCACCUUAGAUGGCAGUAUAUAAUAAACAUAGACCCACACCACCUGGGGCAGGGAAGUGGGGAUGACUGCUCCAGCCCACUGCCCUGCCUCUCUAUACUCAAGUUUGCAAAGUAUAGGUAACAUUUUUCCCAGACAGAAAACGUAAGGCUCUUCUCUCAUGUGACUGAACUAAAUAUCUGAGGUCAUCUAGGACUUGCAGUGUGGAUGUUGGCAACACAGAAUAGAGCCCUCCUGAUUCUGGUAGUUACAUUCUGCCCCACACAGAGCUUCCAGCCAGAUAUUCUCAAAGGGACCAGAGGUAAUAUAGAUCUAGUAGUAUAAUAGCAGGCGAAACCUACACCAACGCAUUUUCAGAAUGUCCACAAGAGGGCACUAUUGCAACACCUCCCUGCAGGGUGAGAGCCCUCUAGGUCUAUCAAUUGGGUCUUUUCAGACUAGAAUUGAUUACGAGGGUGCUGUUCUCAGAAUGUCCACAUGAGGGCACUAUUGCAACACAUUCCUGCAGGGUGAGAGCCCUCUUCAUUGGAUUGCAGAAAGCCGCCAACCUGUGAUGUGAACAGCAGCUUUCCUUCCACACUUGUGCUCUUAGCUACAUGCUGCCUAUCUCCCUCUUAGCUCAUGCAUCUCCUUUCCUGGGUAAAAUGAGACAAACCAGCACGUACCUUAGUGUCUAUGGCUGGCUACAAGCUUAUGAAUGAAGACCAAUGGGAGCUGGAAGGACUGGGUUCUUACCCAGUUGUUGUCAAUGUGACCUUGGACUCAGGCAUAUGGGGACAGGGUUCCUGCCAUCUCACAGGGCUGAGCUCAGGCAGAAGUAAUGGUUGGGGCCGGCUCUGCAGCACAGGUCGGUUCAGCUAUCCCAGAACCUUCUAGCCCACAGGGGACUUCACUUCUUCACUCUAGCUUUCCUGCUCCUAAGGCCCUCAGGGACAGCCUGACAGCUAGUUCUCCAAGGGAUAGCAUUUGACACUUUAAAAGUGAAAAAUCUGCCCUAGCCAGUUUGGCUCAGUGGAUAGACUGUUGGCCUGCGGACUG